UGGGGAAUAUUGGACAAUGGGCGAAAGCCUGAUCCAGCCAUGCCGCGUGUGUGAAGAAGGUCUUCGGAUUGUAAGCACUUUAAGUUGGGAGGAAGGGCAGUAAAUUAAUACUUUGCUGUUUUGACGUUACCGACAGAAUAAGCACCGGCUAACUCUGUGCC
rnacentral:rRNA from 1 species